GAUGAACGCUAGCGGGAGGCUUAACACAUGCAAGUCGAGGGGCAGCAUAGGGUAGCAAUACUCUGAUGGCGACCGGCAAACGGGUGAGUAACGCGUAUGCAACCUACCCUGUACAGGGGGAUAACCCGGAGAAAUUCGGACUAAUAUCCCGUAAUAAUAUCCGGAGGCAUCUUUGGAUAUUUAAAGUUCCGACGGUACGGGAUGGGCAUGCGUAACAUUAACUGGUUGGUAAGGUAACGGCUUACCAAGGCUAUGAUGUUUAGGGGUCCUGAGAGGGUGGUCCCCCACACUGGUACUGGGACACGGACCAGACUCCUACGGGAGGCAGCAGUGAGGAAUAUUGGUCAAUGGGCGCAAGCCUGAACCAGCCAUCCCGCGUGCAGGAAGACGGCCCUAUGGGUUGUAAACUGCUUUUCCAGGGAGAGAAACUUACGCACGUGUUGCGUGACUGACGGUACCCUGGGAAUAAGCAUCGGCUAACUCCGUG
rnacentral:rRNA from 1 species